UACGGGGGGGGCAAGCGUUGUUCGGAAUUACUGGGCGUAAAGGGUGCGUAGGCGGCUUUCUAAGUUGGAUGUGAAAACUAUGGGCUCAACCCAUAGCCUGCAUCCAAAACUGGAGAGCUUGGGUUCUGGAGGGGAAAGCGGAAUUCCUGGUGUAGCGGUGAAAUGCGUAGAUAUCGGGAGGAACACCUGUGGCGAAAGCGGCAUACUGGACCACAACUGACGCUGAGGCGCGAAAGCUAGGGGAGCAAACAGG
rnacentral:rRNA from 1 species